rnacentral:rRNA from 1 species
CCUACGGGAGGCAGCAGUAGGGAAUAUUGCUCAAUGGGGGAAACCCUGAAGCAGCAACGCCGCGUGGAGGAUGGAGGUUUUAGGAUUGUAAACUCCUUUUGUUAGAGAAGAUUAUGACGGUCUCUAACGAAUAAGCACCGGCUAACUCCGUGCCAGCAGCCGCGGUAAUACGGAGGGUGCGAGCGUUAAUCGGAAUUACUGGGCGUAAAGCGCUCGUAGGCGGUAUGUCAGGUCAAGGGUGAAAUCCCCGCGCUCAACGUGGGAACUGCCUUUGAAACUGGCAAACUGGAGUGUGUGAGAGGAUAGUGGAAUGCCAGGUGUAGGAGUGAAAUCCGUAGAUAUCGAGAGGAACACUCGUGGCGAAGGCGGGUUCCUGGACAGUAACUGACGCUGAGGCACGAAGGCCAGGGGAGCGAAAGGGAUUAGAUACCCCGGUAGUC